GACGAACGCUGGCGGCGUGCUUAACACAUGCAAGUCGAACGGAAAGGCCCUGCUUUUGUGGGGUGCUCGAGUGGCGAACGGGUGAGUAACACGUGAGUAACCUACCCUUGACUUUGGGAUAACUUCAGGAAACUGGGGCUAAUACCGGAUAGGAGCUCCUGCUGCCUGGUGGGGGUUGGAAAGUUUCGGCGGUUGGGGAUGGACUCGCGGCUUAUCAGCUCGUUGGUGGGGUAGUGGCUUACCAAGGCUUUGACGGGUAGCCGGCCUGAGAGGGUGACCGGCCACAUUGGGACUGAGAUACGGCGCAGACUGCUACGGGAGGCAGCAGUGGGGAAUAUUGUACAAUGGGCGGAAGCCUGAUGCAGCAACGCCGCGUGCGGGAUGACGGCCUUCGGGUUGUAAACCGCUUUCGCCUGUGACGAAGCGUGAGUGACGGUAAUGGGUAAAGAAGCACCGGCUAACUACGUG
rnacentral:rRNA from 1 species